rnacentral:rRNA from 9 species
GAUGAGAUUUCCCUUUGAGCAAUCAAGAAAGACCCCUCAGAGACGAUGAGGUAGAUAGGUCAUGGGUGGAAGCACGGCGACGUGUGGAGCUGAAUGAUACUAAUCGGUCGAGGCUUUGAUCUA